UACGUAGGGACCGAGCGUUGUCCGGAUUCAUUGGGCGUAAAGAGCUCGUAGGCGGCCACUCAAGUCGAAUGUGAAACCUCGAGGCUUAACCUCGAGCCUGCAUUCGAUACUGGGCGGCUAGAGUCUGGUAGGGGGAUCUGGAAUUCCUGGUGUAGCGGUGGAAUGCGCAGAUAUCAGGAGGAACACCGGUGGCGAAGGCGGCCUUCUGGACAGUGACUGACGCUGAGACGCGAAAGCGUGGGGAGCAAACAGG
rnacentral:rRNA from 1 species